rnacentral:rRNA from 1 species
AACCCAAUGUGAACGUUACCAAACUGUUGCCUCGGCGGGAUCUCUGCCCCGGGUGCGUCGCAGCCCCGGACCAAGGCGCCCGCCGGAGGACCAACCUAAAACUCUUUUUGUAUACCCCCUCGCGGGUUUUUUAUAAUCUGAGCCUUCUCGGCGCCUCUCGUAGGCGUUUCGAAAAUGAAUCAAAACUUUCAACAACGGAUCUCUUGGUUCUGGCAUCGAUGAAGAACGCAGCGAAAUGCGAUAAGUAAUGUGAAUUGCAGAAUUCAGUGAAUCAUCGAAUCUUUGAACGCACAUUGCGCCCGCCAGUAUUCUGGCGGGCAUGCCUGUCCGAGCGUCAUUUCAACCCUCGAACCCCUCCGGGGGGUCGGCGUUGGGGAUCGGCCCUCCCUUAGCGGGUGGCCGUCUCCGAAAUACAGUGGCGGUCUCGCCGCAGCCUCUCCUGCGCAGUAGUUUGCACACUCGCAUCGGGAGCGCGGCGCGUCCACAGCCGUUAAACACCCAACUUCUGAAAUGUUGACCUCGGAUCAGGUAGGAAUACCCGCUGAACUUAA